rnacentral:lncRNA from 1 species
CCAUCAAUUAAAGGGCACAAAAGACAUACAGUUAGAGGAUCAGAGGACCAACUUGGCACACCUUUCCUUUUGCGUGUGUGUGUUUCUUUAGCAGCUUUGCCUAUCAUUUUAGACAUGCGUAUUUUGCCUUUAUCAGUCCAAAACAAAUUAGCAAAAGAAAUGCUCUUUUUAAUCGGCUAGUCAAAUAUUUCCUCCUAUGCAGAGUGAUCAAUUUCUGUACAUCAAUUUGAUUUGAAUGAGUCACACAAAAAACCAAUUUGCAAAUUUGCUCUUCCAAUUUGACACGGCAAAUAUGAGAAAUACAUUUAGCUAGCUUCAAACACUUGGCUGUACCAUGUGCCUGUGGCAAUCAAUCAAGGUGGGGUUUGCCUAAAAGAAACGUCGAACAAAAAGAAAGAAAAAAAAAAAAAGAUGAUCACAGCUUUCGCGCUAUUUGCAUGUAAGUUUGUGUUUGGAGUGGCUUUGUUGAUGGGAAUCCUUAUAGGAGCAGGCCGUUCUACUUUUGCCCCCACAAAUUACGUCUUCAGCUCACUUUUUUGGGUUCUUCCUUUGUUUUUUUAGCAUUUUUU